ACCUGGCUGGUACAGUCGGUAGAACAUGUGACUCUUGAUCUCAAGGUUUUGAGUUCAAGUCCCAUGUUGGGUG
rnacentral:tRNA from 1 species